UACGAAGGGGGCAAGCGUUGUUCGGAAUUACUGGGAGUAAAGCGCACGUAGGCGGCCUUGUAAGACGGGGGUGAAAUCCCCGGGCUCAACCCGGGAACUGCCUUCGUGACUGCAGAGCUUGAGGCCGGGAGAGGUUAGCGGAAUUCGGAGUGUAGAGGUGAAAUUCGUAGAUAUUCGGAAGAACACCAGUGGCGAAGGCGGCUCACUGGCGCGGCACUGACGCUGAGGUGCGAAAGCGUGGGGAGCAAACAGG
rnacentral:rRNA from 1 species